rnacentral:rRNA from 1 species
UGGCUCAUUAUAUAAGUUAUCGUUUAUUUGAUAGCACCUUACUACUUGGAUAACCGUGGUAAUUCUAGAGCUAAUACAUGCUAAAAAUCCCGACUUCGGAAGGGAUGUAUUUAUUAGAUUAAAAACCAAUGCCUUUCGGCUUUUUGGUGAUUCAUGAUAACUUCUCGAAUCGCAUGGCCUUGCGCCGGCGAUGGUUCAUUCAAAUUUCUUCCCUAUCAACUUUCGAUGCGAAGGUCUUGUCUUCGCAUGGUUACAACGGGUAACGGAGGGUUAGGGCUCGACCCCGGAGAGGGAGCCUGAGAAAUGGCUACCACUUUUAAGGAAGGCAGCAGGCGCGCAAAUUACCCAAUCCCGACACGGGGAGGUAGUGACAAUAAAUACUGAUACAGGGCUCUUAUGGGUCUUGUAAUCGGAAUGAGUACAAUUUAAAUCCCUUAACGAGGAACAAUUGGAGGGCAAGUCUGGUGCCAGCAGCCGCGGUAAUUCCAGCUCCAAUAGCGUAUAUUAAAGUUGUUGUGGUUAAAAAGCUCGUAGUUGAACCUUGGGCCUGGCUGGCCGGUCCCCCUCACCGGGUGCACUGGUCCGGCCGGGUCUUUCCCUCUAUGGAACCUCAUGCUCUUUACUGAGUGUGACGGGGAAAUAGGACUUUUACUUUGAAAAAAUUAGAGUGCUCCAGGCAGGCCUAUGCUCGAAUAGUACAGCAUGGAAUAAUAGAAUAGGACGUGUGGUUCUAUUUUGUUGGUUUCUAGGACCGCCGUAAUGAUUAAUAGGGACAGUCGGGGGCAUCAGUAUUCAGCUGUCAGAGGUGAAAUUCUUGGAUCUGCUGAAGACUAACUACUGCGAAAGCAUUUGCCAAGGAUGUUUUCAUUGAUAAGGAACGAAAGUUAGGGGAUCGAAGACGAUCAGAUACCGUCGUAGUCUUAACCAUAAACUAUGCCGACUAGGGAUCGGACGAUGUUAUUUUUUUGACUCGUUCGGCACCUUUCGAGAAAUCAAA